rnacentral:rRNA from 1 species
ACUAGUAUGAACGGUCAAAUGAGGACUAAACUGUCUCUUACAUUCAACCAAUAAAACUGAUCUUUCAGUUAAAAAGCUGAAAUAAAACCAUAAGACGAGAAGACCCUGUGGAGCUUUAAACCAAACCCAGCCUAAAUGACCACUUGGUUUUUAGUUGGGGCGACUUCGGAGCACAAAAAACCCUCCGAUAAUAAGCCAUAUUAAGAUCAACACAUCAAAAUAUAAGCUCAACCCAGUAUUUCUAUUAAAUAUCUGAUCAACGAACCAAGUUACCCCAGGGAUAACAGCGCCAUCCCCUUCUAGAGUCCUUAUCGACAAGGGGGUUUACGACCUCGAUGUUGGAUCAGGACACCCAAAUAGUGCAGCCGCUAUUAAUG